rnacentral:miRNA from 1 species
UGUUGUCAUGUUUUUUCCCUAG